CCUACGGGUGGCAGCAGUGGGGAAUAUUGGACAAUGGGCGAAAGCCUGAUCCAGCCAUGCCGCGUGUGUGAAGAAGGCCUUCGGGUUGUAAAGCACUUUCAGUGGGGAAGAAAGCCUUGGGGCUAAUACCCUCGAGGAAGGACAUCACCCACAGAAGAAGCACCGGCUAACUCCGUGCCAGCAGCCGCGGUAAUACGGAGGGUGCGAGCGUUAAUCGGAAUUACUGGGCGUAACGCGCGCGUAGGCGGUCUGAUAAGCCGGUUGUGAAAGCCCCGGGCUCAACCUGGGAACGGCAUCCGGAACUGUCAGGCUAGAGUGCAGGAGAGGAAGGUAGAAUUCCCGGUGUAGCGGUGAAAUGCGUAGAGAUCGGGAGGAAUACCAGUGGCGAAGGCGGCCUUCUGGACUGACACUGACGCUGAGGUGCGAAAGCGUGGGUAGCAAACAGGAUUAGAUACCCGAGUAGUC
rnacentral:rRNA from 1 species